ensembl:lncRNA
GAGAAAUAAAAGAAGGCAGCAGGCACCGGAAAGUCAUUAAAGAGGGCCGGGGCUGAGGAGCUGCUUGCCGAGAGAGACCGCGGCAGACACUGAGAGGAGGGCCGGAGCAGCAGGGGCGAGGAGGAGGAAAUACCUCGGACACGGUGCUGUUGGCUGAAGGGGGUAUAUUGUCCCUGGGUCAUCGAGGGAGGCGAGGUUGGAGAAAAUCUACAUAACAUUACCAUCUGCUAAACUUCAAACCGCUCAAACACACGCACGCAGCGAAGAAGAAGAGUCUAUAGAAAUGUAUACGCUCUUCAGCCCCUCUCCAGCUCCUCUUCCACGUCCUCCUUCUUCUCCUCUGUGCUGAGAGAAGAGAAGAGCUCGGGUGGGGGUGGGGGGGUCGAGGCCUCUGCUUACACCAACAAGAAAGAAAACGUGACGCAUUUGAAACUAGUGCGCUAAAAUCUUUUUGUCUAUUGUUUCAAACUACAACAUUCAACGAACACAUUUGAUGGGGAAUAUCAGCAAGUUCUCUGCCACAGUUAAACUGCCAACCAACAUCCUUUCCCCUGUGCCCCUCCCCCCCUCUCCCACACCCACACCCACAGGUCCCUCUGAAGGAGCAGGCGGAGCCGGCAGUUGCACAUCUGCAUUUCAAACACAGACUCUCUGGGAUUCAUUAUUAAUUAGCCUGCUAAGCCCUGGAGGACCGGUGAUGUUGCCAUCGUUCUCGCUCUCUCUCUAACAGACACACACACAUACACACUCUCACUAACCCCCAAAUUCACACAAACACCAUGUGACCCCUUUGCCCCUCUGCUGUAGAGAGUCCUCACCAGAAUGCUGAGCCAGGAGCCCCCCCCCCUCCCUCCAGCCACAUCACUUCUCUGGCUUAAUGUGUGGUAAAGGAAGAUGAAUUACAGGAGCAGAUCGGUUUAAUAAACCCACCGCAGCGCCACUGUGUUUAAAACCCCACAUUUGAUUUAGUUGUCGAGCAGAGAAGAUGAGAGAAGCACAAGGGCCUGUACGGGUUCUCACGUAACAUUACAAAAAACUCCACUCUUCCUCCCUGCUUUUAUUCUAUUUGGGGGAAAUAGACGGCUGUGUUUGGCUGGCCUCUAAUGCGUGUGUGUGUGUACGUGUGGGAGAAUGCAGUUUCUCUGCAUUAACCUCCACCAGCGUACACACACAUGCAGAUGAGAAAUACACACAGCGAUUAUGCAUGAGGGGUGUCUCUGGGGGCUCUGCGAGAACUCCACAACACACGCCCCUUCGUCGCACAAAGUUGAAGUUUUCAAAGAUAAACAGGUGAGGAAGUAACCCGAGGACCCGAGAACGGGGGCCUCGGCCGUCGGCCCGUGCGCGCGCUGCCACGCGGGGAGCCGGUGUGUGAUGCCGGGAUCGUUCAAGAGCACCGGCCCGUGCUCCACCUCUGCCGUGGUUUGUGUCUGGAGCGCUCUCCCUGGUGCUGAAACCGGAGGAGGCCGUUCACUUUUUAAUUAGCGGCUGACUAAGGAGAUUAGAUCAGAUUAGGAUCCGUUAUACUCCCGCAACACGUAGAUACCUUCAGCUCGGAUAAUAACAUUCCCGUGGCCCCUGGAGCUAUAGGCGGGACGUAUGUGUAUUUCUCGCCGGGUUGGCGAGCUGCGGGCCACGCACGACCUCCGGCUCUGAUAAAGGAGACAUCCCCGGGCUGGACGUGAUUCCGUAAUAGAGCAGGACCCCACCACCGCAUCCUAAAUCUUAAACUGAGGCCUCGACGCGGCCCGCCGUCUCCCCCCAUGGCGGUUCCGACCGAUACGGAGUAAAACACGCGAUCGGGUCUGAUUCCGAGCCAGCGGCGGACCUCCGUCAAACACACACACACACACGCGCGCGCGCGCGCACGCACACGCGCGCACACACUUCCUGGUUUCUGAGGAUUCUGGGUAGCAGCUCGAGGAGUGGGGGGUGGUCUCGACAACACAGCGCAGCCUUUGUUGAGAGUGUAACGCAGAAUCCGGGGCAAUCGAGGAGUCUGCACAAAUGUUGUUACAAGUUUCCUGCUCCAAAAGGGAAUUCUCGUUCUCAUUUCGGAGCGUUCCCCCUCGGACCCGCUCUUUCAUUCAAAGGAAUGCGCGUAUGAUUUUUGGUUUCGUACCAAUUCCACCUGGAGUCUCGCAAGGGAAGAAUAACAAAUAUGGGAAACAUUUAAUCCAGAAUAAUAUGUUUAUCUAGAGACCUGUGGAUUUGGGGAGGAAUGGACCCCCCUCUGAUGUGGUCUGCUGCCAGUGUGUGUGUGUGCGUGGCUUGAGUGUGGGUUACUGUGUGUUUUGGUUGGACGUGUAGGAAGGGUGAGGAGACCCUUCACCCGCCCCGGGGGCCAGGAACUCUGGGUGAGGAGGAAGAGAAGCCUAACACACUCUCAGAUUUCUAAAGUGCGUUUGUGAUACAGGAUGUGACAAACGCAAGUCAGUAGUUAAAGCACAUUGCAGCAAGAGCUAGAAACAUCCCAGUGAUGGCGGUGCUUCUCCAAGAGAAAGUGUUUUUUCUGCAGGAAAGACAAUAUUGAAUCUCCCGCUGUAUAUUUGCUAGCGGGGUUCACUAAGAAAUACUCUGAGAAGCACUUGUUUGAGAAGUGAAAUAGUGGGUUUACUUUCAUAGCUUCUCUAAGUUGAGAUUUUGGAAACAUUUAUGCACACACACACACACACACACACACACACACACACACACACACACACACACACACACUAAACACACACUCAUCUUUCUUUACGUGUUGGUCAGCAUCGAAAAAACAUCACAUCACUUUGCGUAAAAGUCAUGAUGUUGCAAAGUGAUCUCCAAAACCUGUUCGUAAAAAUGUAUACGACAUAUUUGACAUAGAAAUUCGUAACAAUACAUACGAACUGGCGGUGGUUAACCACGCCCCUUGAGUGAACGUCUCUCCGCCGUGUUGGAUUUUUUGAGGGGGUUAGGGUUAGUAUUCUAUUCUUACAAUUUACCAUUGAUUUCUCGUUAAAAAUGCAAUCAUAACACGUUUAUUUUACAUCGUGAGACUUCACGAAGUGUGUUUACGGGGUGCAAGUCCCCAUUCACUUUGAAUAGGGUGACGUCAUCAGUUGCAGUCCGUAUUUAUUUAGUAUCACUACGAAUUUGUAUCUUCAAGAUUUUCAUAUACAUUUUUACGAACAGGUUUUGGAGUUCAGGCUGGAUGUUGAUUUUACUAUGUUGUGCCCGGUGAACAUAAUCUAGGUCUUGUUCCACCCACUUACUCAAUUGCUAUGUCAUCAUCCCAUAUCAUUUUGAUAAAUGAUAAAUAUUCCCUAUAUUUGCAUCACCUUAAAAAAUGUUGCAGCUUCAAUGUGGAUGUCACCGAUGCUUUGUCAAAGCCUUAUGGUUCCCAUAAUGCUCCAGCAGUACAAAACAUUUACAUUAUGGACAACUAUGUUCAAACCACUGUGGACAGUGAUGGCACAUGUUCCAUGUCUCCUUAGAACCCCGGAGGUGUGUUUACAAUGUGUCUGAUGUCUCACUGCAUGUGGAUUUUUUCCCAAGUCACACUUUUAGUGAUGUCAGAACAUUCCCUACUUUCAGAAAUCACUUUAUGGAUAAGAGCGGAUGAAAUUGAUUGUUUAGAAGAACAGCGUUUUUCCUUAAAAAACAGGAUGCUUUGCAUGCAAGUUAGCUCCCACUACACAGGAAUGAUGCAUGUAAAAAAUCCACACACCGCAAAUAGAAGUGACACUACUAUCCGUACUACUACCACCACCAGUUCAGUACGCAAGAAGUACCAAAUCCGUCUCCUUUCUCCUCUCUCCGGCUCUGAUUUCUCUCCUUCCCUUCUGAAAAAAAGGUCUCAUUGUGGCGAUGUCAGCUGUCUCAAGGGCAUCCAGAACAAAGACGCUUUUCACCCCUCUGCAUAUCCUCCUCUCAUCCUUCACUCUCUCAUUCCGACUCCCCAUAUCAUGAAAAUCCUCUGGUUUGUUUUUUUCCCUGUCCUUUUUCCUUUUCUAACUCUUUGUUUUGGCAUUCUCAUGCGGGCCGUGGCAGGUUGAAGUAAAUGAGACGAGGACGGCGACACUGCUGGAAUAUUAAAAAGAAAAGAGCCGUAGCAGAGUUCCUUAAUUUUGCAUGCAGCAUAUCAGAGAUUACUCUGCUGUUGUGUGUGUGCUAUUACGUCCUGUAUGUAUCUGGCAGAGUAUGGAGGCAGGAGGAGAGGGACGUGCAAAGGCAGCAGCAGCUGGUGGAGAUACACAAUGUGGAGAGAGAGAGAGAGAGAGAGAGAGAGAGAGAGAGAGAGAGAGAGAGAGAGGACAACAGAGGAUGCCUCCUUGGCCAACUGUGUGGAAGGGGGACAGUGGAGCAUAACAAACAGGAUCCACCUUUCUGCUUGGCUAAUUUUCCCCAUUAAAACAGCCCAGCAGGAGCCUCAGCAGUCCACCAGCUGGAACAGAGGUUAUUUUAGUGCCUGUCUUUCAACGGGGGGGUUUGGUGGGGGGUCGCUUCUUGCAUCUAUUUUGGCGUGCAGGGCUGAGGUUCGGGAGGCAUGAAGAUCUUCCAUAGGAGCGGAUUCAAUUCACUGAUAUUAAUUUCCUCCUCUCCUGUCAUGCAUAAACAAAAGGAAAUCUCGGCGUCUGUCUGCAUCAUGCGUCUUCGCCCUGCUGCGCGCCGCUAUAAUGUCCUCGCCGCUGAUAUUGAUGUAUGUGCCCAUAUUUGCUCAGUCAUCUCUUUAUGUGGCAAGCCCUCCUCUCCUCUGUCUCAGUCAGAUCCUAAACUAAUCCCCAACCCUGCUACUCUGACAAGAAAAUCCCCUAUUUUAAUGCAUGCACACACACAACCCAAUCACGCACACACACUUUUCUCUUCCUUCUUUGUACCUGGAAACAGCAGCUUUUCAGUCUUUUUACUUUUUAGCAAGGCCUGCCUUGCCCGCAAGUUACCAUUUGUUAUGAAAUCUUCACAGCGUGGUGACGUUUGUGGAAACACAUAAUGUGAUAAAAUGUUUUCUUUUUGUUCACACUAGGCAGACUUUGGCAGCACGGUGUCAUUUUGUUACCGGCUGUUAGGAAAUGUUAACCCAAGUCUGCUGCCGUCCAUUUACGGUACGGAAACAUAAUUAGAUAACAGACAUUGGUGAUUUAAAACGGGUUUGGGGGCCAUGUUGUGUUACUGAAACUGAGCAUCAAUGAUGCAAAGUGAUUUACUUACAAAGGGUUAUUUUGGCUGUACAUGUCAGUGUAUAUUGUAGUCGGAAGUUUAGAACACAUUUUGGAGGCAGAGUGCUCCGAUGAAAUGGACUGCAUGCAUUCUGGCUAACGAGGGUCUUUAAGUUAAACAAGGCUGGCUAUUGAUUAUGUUAUUGUGAUACAUUCGGUUUUCUGGUGUGCUGAAGCAGAGAGCAGCACAAGAAAACAGGUUCAAUGUUUAAAGGCAAGCUACUAACUACAAGACAGAGAGGGUUUGUAAAAUAACAGCUAUAGUACAUCAUGUCCCCCCAAAAUAAAAAAAAGAAUAAGCAUAGCCUAGAUGAAAAUGAUCCCUAUUCCCAAAUGGGUUCUUUCAGCUUCAGUCAUCAUCGCUAGUUGGUAACUUUACCUUGAUUAUUACAAACAUUUAAGAAAAACAAAUGUGUGGUCCUUCAAGUAGUACAUUGAUUUGCAAAAGAGCAAAUAUAAAUAUGAUUUCAUUUUAUCUUAACAAUACCAUAUUGAAAGAAGUCUCCUAAAUCAAAACUAACAUGGCUACUAGGCUAACUCUGCUAAGCUACAUACAUGAACACUUCAGCUAACUUUUCAUUCUGCACCGUCACUGAACUCACUACAACUGCUGCUGACACAUUCACAAAAUGAAGACGUCCCUUCUGGAAAUGUAAGCUGCGUUUCACGUCUCCUCAGUAUUUCAGGAGCAGCGCUGUUGUAAAGCACACGGGGUGGAAUUUAGGGUUGAGGGACUCACUGGAGGACACUUUCACAGGAAGAGGAGUUGAACUGCCGACGUUAAAGGACUACCUGCUCUUUCCUUAUGGUUUGAUGGUUUUCAUUUUUUUAAUUUGAAUUGAGUAGUUUGCAAUAACGAACAAAAAGGAUGUAGGUUCAUAUAAAUGCGCAUAAGUAUAGUCUCAGCUUUUGCUAAAGCUAUCUGUCACUAGCUAGUGCAGACGUACACCGGGUGCGGCCUUGGAACAGUAGGUGCUGUGUGGCCUCCAGGAGCUCCUUCUGCGAUGCUCUGCCUCGAGAACAACAACACACAAACAAGUCGGACUGGAGGUUUAUUCGAUGCCCUUGUUGGCUCGUCAGGAGGUUGUUCAGAGGCUACAAAGCAUUUGAUUUCUAAUGUUACGUAUUUGAUAGCAUAUUAACACUGAUGGUAAAACAAUACUAUUAAGCUGUAUCCCUACUGAAUACCACGCAAGAUUAUUUAUGUUUAGUCGCAGUCAAUUCAGCCACUUAGUGCGCUGGACGCAAAGAACUUGACUGUCACGCACAGAACUAUGAGCGAAGCAAGAGGGUGGAUUUCAUCUGCGUUACAUUCAGCAUGUGAAAGGAGCGCCUGAAUUUAGCAGCCAGGCAAGAUGAGGUGCGGUUGACCUUGGCAUGUGUGCGAAUGCACGCACACAAACGCAACGCUCGCACACACGUACACAAACCAUGUAGGUGGGGGCUGACAAAUGGCAGUGCAGCAGCUCAGUUAGAUGGUAAAUGUAGGUUUAAACAACGCAGAGUGACGCUUACACACGCAACACUUAGUGGCCGGUUUGGUGAAAUAAGAUUGAUUUGGUUCACUCUCUCACUCUUUGAAACGCACAGUCACACACACACACACACACAUGCACCAACACACACACACACCGAGUGGAAUAUGAGUGAUGUGAUUCAGGACACCUCUCGGCAGCCACUCUGCUUUCCAUCCGAACGCCCGAGCGGAAUACUAAUCACUGGAUCACAUUACAGAGAGAGAGAGAGAGAGAGAGAGAUGGCUGCAGCUAUAGAAGGAGAAGAUCAGCAGGGAAUAGCAAGGAUUAUAUCAGAUAAGAAAUACAAAAGGUUGGCGUCGCAAGCCGGGGUCGUUUUUUCCCCUUUUUCUUUACUGCUUUGCAGUGAGCAGCAUGCAAAUGCUGCGGGUUACGGGAUGAAAAAGUAAUGUCACGGGCAAGUGAGAGCAAAGCUUAACAUCAGGGUUUAAAACAUGCUGGACACCGCUUAAGAAGGGAGAGAAGUUUUGUCCACCUGCAUGAAAGUCAGGUAUAGUUAUUCCCAACAACUGCAGUUAAAACAAAUGUUGGAUAACUAAGCAACGGCUAUUCCAGUGCUUCAUUUUCUCCAACAUCUUAUCCUUUUAGAGCCAAAUAUUACAUCUCUUACUCCACAAAAUUAAUUAUACUGCUGGUUACUUGGUAGAUUCAUAUUUUACUUCUAAGGUGACAUUGUUAUUUCCAACAACUUGUUUAUUAAAGUUACCUGCACAUUUACCAGCUACAAUGUAUAAUUAUUAUCAUUAUUUAGACUGAAAAUGGGCAAUUCUGCUGGAAUUAUAAGCACUUGAAAAGUAUUUCUUGUGAGAAACUCAUUCAUUCAGCACUUUUACUGUGUCACAUGCAGGCUCAUUAGAACAUAAGGUCCACCCCCAUCUCAGGAUCUCCACCCACAGCAUGAAAAGUACCUUCGCAAAGGUGCACCAUGGAGCUUUUCCAGUCUGUGGCAUCACAAGGGGACACGUGGUGGAAGCAGGCUGCUACGUUCCCAAACAGGAUCGGUUGCCACACACACUACAGCCCCCAGAAUGCCUCACAGCACAACCAGCUGUAGGUGUUUAAGCCAUUUGAUUACAGCAGGGCUCAAAAGCCAAAGCACCUGGCGGGCAAAGAGAACGACGGGAGGAGAGCGCCGAGCUGGAAGGGCCAGACCGGUGCAUUGGAGCACCCAAUGAUCUUUGGAGACGGAAGCCAGGAGAAGGACUUGUGAGGAGGGAAAAGCAAACUUUAUGUUAAUGUUUUUGAAGCUGCCAAAUGACUGAAGGCCUUAUUUAUGUUUGCCUGUUUAUUU